rnacentral:rRNA from 1 species
AUGCAGCUACUAGAUUUGACUGAUUCUGAUAAUAUUGUGAAUAUAUUCAUUGUUUCAUUGAAUUUUUGCAACUUUGAUGUGCGCUCAUAUGGCACCCGUUGUAAGUAUUUCAAUCUAUUUUUCCUCGAGAUCUUAUGCGUACACACAAAAAGGGGAACUGAAGUCACUGAAACCACUAGCAAGAAAAAAGAAGUUGCUGAAAUUUUGCAACUAUUUCCGUUUCUUCAUGCUUCCGGUGGACAGAUUAUAAAACAUCACGUGCUACCUGAUUACAUCCCACACGUGCAACAGUUUGAAGAUAUAUGUAAGUUUAUGUUUCUAAGGUGUCACAAGCUCACUUAA